rnacentral:misc_RNA from 1 species
UCGAAGAGAGGGUAAUGUCCAACUCGUCCACGGUAGUCGUUCAUGCUUAGCGUAAAACGCUUAAUUGGGAAUGYAACGAAUGAACGUCCAUCCCCACGCAACUUUCUGCAUCCCGGGGCACAACUAGAGACCGUAUUCCAAUCCAACAGUGCUUGGUUUUCGCCACCAUGGUUGGAAGACGGACCUAGCUACAUAGGUCCACCCAACACCUGUAAGGAUGCCGGACGGAGAGGAAAGGUU